CGUAGGGUGCAAGCGUUAAUCGGAAUUACUGGGCGUAAAGCGUGCGCAGGCGGCUUUGCAAGACAGAUGUGAAAUCCCCGGGCUUAACCUGGGAACUGCAUUUGUGACUGCAUGGCUAGAGUGCGGCGGAGGGGGAUGGAAUUCCGCGUGUAGCAGUGAAAUGCGUAGAUAUGCGGAGGAACACCGAUGGCGAAGGCAAUCCCCUGGGCCUGCACUGACGCUCAUGCACGAAAGCGUGGGGAGCAAACAGGAUUAGAUACCCUGGUAGUCCACGCCCUAAACGAUGUCAACUGGUUGUUGGACGGCUUGCUGUUCAGUAACGAAGCUAACGCGUGAAGUUGACCGCCUGGGGAGUACGGCCGCAAGGUUG
rnacentral:rRNA from 1 species